rnacentral:rRNA from 1 species
GACGAACGCUGGCGGCGUGCUUAACACAUGCAAGUCGAACGGCAAGGCCCUGCUUUUGUGGGGUGCUCGAGUGGCGAACGGGUGAGUAACACGUGAGUAACCUGCCCUUGACUUUGGGAUAACUUCAGGAAACUGGGGCUAAUACCGGAUAGGAGAUCCUGCUGCAUGGUGGGCGUUGGAAAGUUUCGGCGGUUGGGGAUGGACUCGCGGCUUAUCAGCUUGUUGGUGGGGUAGUGGCUUACCAAGGCUGUGACGGGUAGCCGGCCUGAGAGGGUGACCGGCCACAUUGGGACUGAGAGACGGCCCAGACUCCUACGGGGGGCAGCAGUGGGGAAUAUUGCACAAUGGGCGGAAGCCUGAUGCAGCAACGCCGCGUGCGGGAUGACGGCCUUCGGGUUGUAAACCGCUUUCGCCUGUGACGAAGCGUGAGUGACGGUAAUGGGUAAAGAAGCACCGGCUAACUACGUG